GUUGAGAUCUGAACAAAUCUGAAUUUUAGAAAUUCCAUAUAUAUAUGGAAAAGAAUCUUUCCCAGCAAGUUUUGUCUCCGGUCUAUAGUCUAAAAAGAGGCUCUCGAUUGAAAUAUUAUAUUGCAGACAUGGCUAGUAGGGGAUGAAUUGAGUGAAGAUGAACAAUUGAAUGCACCAAAAGGAACAUUAUUUAUUCCUUUUUCACAAUUUCCACCAAGAAAAGCUCGCAAGGACUGCUUCUAUUUCAAUACACCAGCCAUGAUUGCUCCAAAGCAUCUUGAAAAUGUAGAUUCUUGUGAGAAUUGGCUACCAAGAAGAGUGAUGAGUGCCUGGAGAAUAGCUGGAAUUUUGCACGCAUUGGAAGGUUGGAAUGAGCAUGAAUGUGGUGACAUGAUGCUUGAUACUGAAAAAGUGUGGAAAGCUAGUCUGGAACAUGGUUUUUGCCCAUUAACCAAGAUUUUUGCUGCUUAAUCAAAGGGCUAAAAUUAUAUAUAGACUGCUCUUUUGAUUUAUAUUAUUGAAUCUUGGAUCUGCGGCGACUUAUAAGUUUGUAAAAUAUUUCCUACAACACUUUGUGCAACAAAACUAUUAUGUUGCUCAAGGUUGUGCCCUUCUAGAAGUUCUUUCAACAAAAUUUACCCGGUAGCAAAAGCCGCCAUUAAUAUAAAGGUUUGAGGUAUCUUAUUAAAAAUUGGCUUAAGAACAA